UCAAGUGAAGAAGGGCAUACGGCGGAUGCCUAGGCGUUUCGAAACGAAGAAGGACGCGAUAAGCUGCGAUAAGCCAUGACGAGCUGCAAGUAAGCCUUGACUCAUGGAUUUCCGAAUGGGGCAACCCGGCAAGAGUAACGUCUUGUCACCUUAUCUACGAGAUAAGGAGAAAACACCCGAUGAACUGAAACAUCUAAGUAGUCGGAGGAAAAGAAAUCAAAGAGAUUCCCUGAGUAGCGGCGAGCGAAACGGGAAGAGCCCAAACCUGAGGACUUCGGUUCUUAGGGGUUGCGGACCUGCAACAAGACAUAAGCUUUAGUGGAAGCAUCUGGGAAGGUGCGGCGAAGAGAGUGAGACCCUCGUACACGAAAGAGCGAGUGUUGGGCAGGGAUCCAGAGUACCACAGGGCACGAGGAACCCGGUGGGAAGCAGGGUGGACCACCAUCCAAGGCUAAAUACAUCGAAACGACCGAUAGCGAUGAGUACCGUGAGGGAAAGGUGAAAAGAACCCCGGGAGGGGAGUGAAAUAGAACCUGAAACCGUAUGUCUACAAACAGUCGGAGCACUUUAUAUGUGCGACGGCGUGCCUAUUGAAGAAUGAACCGGCGAGUUAAUUUAUGCUGCGAGGUUAAGCGGGAGACGCGGAGCCGAAGCGAAAGCGAGUCUUAAGAGGGCGCAAGUAGCAUGGAUUAGACCCGAAACCACAGUGAUCUAUGCAUGUCCAGGUUGAAGCUCAGGUAAAAAUGAGUGGAGGACCGAACCCGUGCGUGUUGAAAAACGUUGGGAUGAGGUGUGCAUAGGGGUGAAAUGCCAAUCGAACGUGGAGAUAGCUGGUUCUCCCCGAAAUAGCUUUAGGGCUAGCCUCAGGCGAAUAACCAUAGAGACGGUAGAGCACUGAUCGGGCAAGGGGGCGUAAAGCCUACCGACCCCAGUCAAACUACGAAUGGCUCAUAUGGGCAGCCUGGGAGUCAGAAUGCGAGUGAUAAGACCCGUAUUCAAGAGGGAAACAGCCCAGACCGCCGGCUAAGGUCCCAAAUGCUGUGCUAAGUGGAGAAGGAUGUAGGACUUCGAAAACAACCAGGAUGUUGGCUCAGAAGCAGCCACCAUUAAAAGAGUGCGUAAUAGCUCACUGGUCGAGAGGCCCUGCGCCGAAAAUAUCCGGGGCUCAAGCACAGAACCGAAGCCGCGGCAGGGUGUACUAAGGUACACACUGGGUAGGGGAGCGUUCUUAUCUGGACGAAGGCAGACCGGAAGGACUGCUGGACGGGUAAGAAGUGAGAAUGCCGGUAUGAGUAGCGAAACGACAGGUGAGAAUCCUGUCCACCGAAAGCCUAAGGAAUCCCGGGCAACGCUCGUCGUCCCGGGGUUAGUCGGGACCUAAGCCGAGGCGAAAAGCAUAGGCGAUGGACAACUGGCGAAAAUUCCAGUACCGGGCGUCUUCGUUUGAGGAUGGAGUGACGCAGGAAGGAAGCUGAGCGCGCGAAUGGUUGGGCGCGUCGAAGGCGGUAGGCUUGUAUGGAGGCAAAUCCCCAUACUGCAAGGCCGAGAACCGAUAGAUAGGAAAGACUACGGUCAAUCUGAAUUCAGCCGCACUACACUGCCAAGAAAAGCUUCUAACGAGAAGUCGUCCGCCCGUACCAAAACCGACACAGGUAGGCGGGGAGAGAAUCCUAAGGUGCGCGGGAAAACCCUCGUUAAGGAACUCGGCAAAAUGCAUCCGUAACUUCGGGAAAAGGAUGGCCGUUGAUGGUGAAGGUGUUUACCACCGGAGCUGUUGACGGCGGCAGAAAAGAGGCCCAAGCGACUGUUUACCACAAACACAGGUGCCUGCGAAAGCGCAAGCUGAAGUAUAGGUGCUGACGCCUGCCCGGUGCAGGAAGGUUAAGGAGAGUUGUUAGUCCUUGAGAUGAAGCAGCGAACUGAAGCCCCUGUAAACGGCGGCCGUAACUAUAACGGUCCUAAGGUAGCGAAAUUCCUUGUCGGGU
rnacentral:rRNA from 1 species